GAUGAACGCUGGCGGCGUGCCUAAUACAUGCAAGUCGAGCGAACAGACGAGGAGCUUGCUCCUCUGACGUUAGCGGCGGACGGGUGAGUAACACGUGGAUAACCUACCUAUAAGACUGGGAUAACUUCGGGAAACCGGAGCUAAUACCGGAUAAUAUAUUGAACCGCAUGGUUCAAUAGUGAAAGACGGUUUUGCUGUCACUUAUAGAUGGAUCCGCGCCGCAUUAGCUAGUUGGUAAGGUAACGGCUUACCAAGGCAACGAUGCGUAGCCGACCUGAGAGGGUGAGCGGCCACACUGGAACUGAGACACGGUCCAGACUCCUACGGGAGGCAGCAGUAGGGAAUCUUCCGCAAUGGGCGAAAGCCUGACGGAGCAACGCCGCGUGAGUGAUGAAGGUCUUCGGAUCGUAAAACUCUGUUAUUAGGGAAGAACAAAUGUGUAAGUAACUAUGCACGUCUUGACGGUACCUAAUCAGAAAGCCACGGCUAACUACGUGCCAGCAGCCGCAGUAA
rnacentral:rRNA from 1 species